UCGUAGUCCGGAUUGGAGUCUGCAACUCGACUCCAUGAAGUCGGAAUCGCUAGUAAUCGUGGAUCAGAAUGCCACGGUGAAUACGUUCCCGGGCCUUGUACACACCGCCCGUCACACCAUGGGAGUGGGUUGCAAAAGAAGUAGGUAGCUUAACCUUCGGGAGGGCGCUUACCACUUUGUGAUUCAUGACUGGGGUGAAGUCGUAACAAGGUAACCGUAGGGGAACCUGCGGUUGGAUCAC
rnacentral:rRNA from 1 species